UUUGUGGUCGCUCCAACGGGAUAGGAGCAUCAGUUUUGGGAACUGAAGGUACAGGUUCGAAUCCUGUUCACAACACCC
rnacentral:tRNA from 1 species